CCUACGGGAGGCAGCAGUGAGGAAUAUUGGUCAAUGGACGAGAGUCUGAACCAGCCAAGUAGCGUGAAGGAUGACUGCCCUAUGGGUUGUAAACUUCUUUUAUAAAGGAAUAAAACGAGGCACGUGUGCCUGUUUGCAUGUACUUUAUGAAUAAGGAUCGGCUAACUCCGUGCCAGCAGCCGCGGUAAUACGGAGGAUCCGAGCGUUAUCCGGAUUUAUUGGGUUUAAAGGGAGCGUAGAUGGGUUGUUAAGUCAGGUGUGAAAGUUUGGGGCUCAACCGUAAAAUUGCAAUUGAUACUGGCAGUCUUGAGUACAGUUGAGGUAAGCGGAAUUCGUGGUGUAGCGGUGAAAUGCUUAGAUAUCACGAAGAACCCCGAUUGCGAAGGCAGCUUACUAAACUGUGACUGACAUUGAUGCUCGAAAGUGUGGGUAUCAAACAGGAUUAGAUACCCGUGUAGUC
rnacentral:rRNA from 1 species